UUUCCGUAGGUGAACCUGCGGAAGGAUCAUUAAAGUUAUAGUCCCCUGGCCCUCUGGGCUGGGGUCUUCUAUACCACCCUUUGUUUAUUACACCUUUGUUGCUUUGGCAGGCCUGCCCUCGGGCUGCUGGCUCCGGCCGGCGAGCGCCUGCCAGAGGACCUAAACUCUGUUUGUCUAUAAUGUCUGAGUACUAUAUAAUAGUUAAAACUUUCAACAACGGAUCUCUUGGUUCUGGCAUCGAUAAAGAACGCAGC
rnacentral:misc_RNA from 1 species